rnacentral:rRNA from 1 species
UACGGAGGGUGCGAGCGUUGUCCGGAAUCACUGGGCGUAAAGGGCGCGUAGGUGGCCUGUGGAAGUCUGCGGUGAAAGCCCGGCGCCUCAACGCCGGGUCGGCCGUGGAUACUCUCGGGCUUGAGCUCACUAGAGGCAGAUGGAAUUCCGGGUGUAGCGGUGGAAGUGCGUAGAGAUCCGGAAGAACGACCGGUGGCGAAGGCGGUCUGCUGGGGUGAUGCUGACACUGAUGGCGCGACAGCGUGGGGAGCAAACAGG